rnacentral:misc_RNA from 1 species
AGACUCAUCCCAUUAGAUUUUCUAAUGGUGAUGGAUUUGGGAGUGUGCUGUUAGGCUCUCCUUAAAAGCAUUAUGCAGACGUAAUAAGUUUUCGUUGUACGCAUAGUCUACAUCUUUGUA